UUUCGCGUCGAAAAAGUGCGUGCGCGUAAAAUCGCGAAACUCAUUAAUUAUCGGGCGACUGGUUGCGCUCCGAUGACGUACGCGUGGGAUCGUCUGCGCGCGGCAAAAAGAGAAAAAUCUAAAGGAGAGAGACAGCGCCACGCCCAACGGCCUGCGAAAGCAACGGAUGCAGCCAUCUUGGAUGAUGCAUCGCUCGCCGAGCGGGAUUUUAUUUUUACGCCGAUUCGAAGGAUUCGCCAAGCGUCAUCGAGAUAAAGGCCGCCAGAGGCAGAUGAGACUGCGAUUGCCGCAACAGGAUCGCUGACGUGCUUUCACGCACUUCAGUUAUUAUGGAUUGAAGUUUAUACCGGAAAAGUCUGCUAGACACAGAGUGAUGAUAGAGUAUCGUGAAAAGAGGGAUAGGCUAUCGACCGCAGAAAACUGCAGCGCCCUGCAUCCCAGAUCCGAACAGGUGAUACGCAAACGGACCACCAGAUGGCAAACCGCACCACUUCCGCCGCUUCGAUAGCUUUCCGCUUCCAUUGACAAUGCGCUGACGUCGAAAGGCUCUAGAUCUCAAUGCAGCUGACUCCUUCGAGCCAUCAAACUUUUUUUCACGUGGAGCUGUUUAAGCUUCCCUUUACAAUGCUGGCGUGCGCUCUGCGUUCUGUCAACAUUUCAACUUUUCUCAUUUUUCUGUUGCGACCGACCAUCAGUA